AUUCAGAAUCAUAUAGGUGUAUAUUUUGUCAUUAGAAAUAAAGAUAGGUGUAUGUUUAAUCAUUCAGAAUCAUAUAGGUGUAUAUUUUGUCAUUAGAAAUAAAGAUAGGUGUAUGUUUAAUUGUGAGUGAUAAAGUUGGAUUAUGAUUCACUGCAUUUGAAUCCCCUUUGCAGUUUCCUGCAUUUGGGACAAAAUUGGUUUUUGGACAGUUAUGAGAAGACAAAGGUAAAAAAAAACAAAACAAGAAGAGAUUAAAUGUAUAUGUAAUUUUAUGGACUGUAGGGAACUGUAAGAGAUUCAACUACAAUGAAUCUAAAUCCGAUAAAGUCCCGGAUUGAUUUAAUAGGAAGGGGAGAUUUCUUUGAAUUUGAUUAAGUCUCUGAUCAUCAUAAAUAAUAAUAGAUCAUACCAAUGUCUUUGUCCCAAAAGCAAGAGUUGUGUCAAAGUCAAAAUAACUGAUAUCAUGAAAUUUACAUCUAGUGAGAAGAUAACUGAGAAUUUGCAUCUUAGAAUAAAGGAAGAGGGCUUUAAGUAUUUGAGAGAGAGAGGGUAGAUUCCACAGGACAAAUUGAAAAUAUGAUAAACAAACACUCAGAAAAUGAGAUUCAUUUUUCUUUCCUUAUUCUCAUUAACUCAAGUCUUAUUUUAUGUCAGUGAUAUUCAACCCUUUCAGCUUCCCCUUUCAGCAAUAAUGAAUAAAGAUAGGUGUACUUACUUCCCAUUUCAGCUUAUGUUAUAAAAAUAACAAAAACAAACAAGUAGUUGAAGUUUGUUUUGUACCAGGAGAAAGAAAGAGAAUUAAUUGCAGAAAAACCUGAAAGUGAAGUAAAAUCAAAACUAAAAUUUGAGAGUGAAGGGAUUAUGACAGAACCUGAAAUACCAACAUCAUAGCCAAAGAGGGAUCCACCAGUUGCAGCAACAAUGCAAGCGAUGAUGACAUGAACAGUGACCCUCCCUUUGUACUGCUCUGCCCUUCCCUUACCCACAGGGGAAGACCCAUCUUCCAUUUCCUUUAUUACAGGCGGCAACAUGUAAGUGAUAAUAAUACUUUAUCAUAUAAUAACAUCACUUCACUCACACCUUCAAUUUUAUAUACACAAAUCUAAAAGUAAGCACUACCAACUUGUUUGUUCCGUGAUUCUUUUGUGAAAUUUUUACAUAAAGUUGAAGGAAUUCUAUAAUAGGAAAAAUUGCUCUGUCAAAACAGUAGAGUAGCUUGAACUUAAUAUUCACCUCCUCAUCUGUAAUUUCUGUUUAUUCAUUAUUGCUUCACGCACUCAACGUAGAAAAGAAGACAAAUUUCUAGAAUUCACAGUAUUGAACACAAGACCCGUAGGAUAGAUUGAUUCUAUGAUAUUUAUGGGUCCUACUAUCAAGUGUUGCAAAAGAAAAAUUUGUCUUUAAAAUAUAUAGAUAAUCAUUGUUAAUGCAAUAGGUUUGUCAUUUUUCAUACACUUGCAUAUUUGAAGGUAAAUUCUAAAGUACGUUAAAGUUUGUCGGGUAUAUUUGACAUAUAUAUUUUUAUUAAUUCUUUGAUUUUUAGGGAGAGGUUUCGUAAUUCAGAGUUCGACUACGAGGAGGUAAGUAAAAUUUAAUUUAGAAUUGUUCCACUAAGAAUCGAAUUCAGAUUCUCUCAAACAAUUUAUUUGAAAGAAAAUUUAUUAAUCACUUCGGUCAAAUGUCUUGCUUAUAAUACUAGACUAGUUGUUGCUUAUAUUUGAGUACAACAUAUACAAUCAAACUCUGUUCAAUUAAUUUGAAUCCUUAAGGCUUAAGCAAUAUUCUAAUUGUCUUCUUAGCACUUUCUACAUUUGUAAGCACUCAACGGUCUUUACCCUUCACACAACCCAAAAUUAUUAGGAUCUUCUGUUCCAAAAUGUCAUGUGUCGGAUUCAGUACCGUCAAUUUCCUUAUUAUUCGGUAAAAAAAGUUUCCCUAUUAGGGCUUUUUCUUUUUUCACACCCGUGUGUUUUCACGGUUCUCUGGCAUGCCCUUGUCACUGUUAUUUACAACACUCCGUUCUUAUUAUUAGAGCUGGGUAUGCGGGCUAGCCCGCCCCGUUUAACUCAUCUCGCAUAAACCCGCAUAUUAAACGGGGCGAACAAGCCCGUCGACAAAUAUAAACGAGUUAUAAUAUUAAGUCCGAGUCCGGUCCGCAUAAGCCCGCGGGUUAAACGGUUAACCUGCGGACUAUUACCAAAAAAAAAAAUUACUUUUUUCAAAAAAUAAACUAAAUUAGUAAAAUAUUGAUAUAAUGAAAGCUUAAAAAAAUAUAUUAUUAAUAAUUUUAUGUUAUAACAUAUAAAUUGUAACUAACAAAUAAAAAUAAAUAAAGUUUGUGAUAUCAUUGAGUUUAUAUAUUUUCUCUUUGUAAGUAAUGCAACUAAAAUCAAAUUCAACUGAUUCUUAUCGUCAUUUUUGUACCGUCCAUUUUAGUGAGAAAAACUUUCUACAUGUACCCAAAAAAAGCAUAAAAAGAUUAACAGAUUCAACUUAACUAAAUCACAUCAAGGUAACCAAAUUAUUCAAAACAUAAUAGCGAAAAAUACCCCCAAGAAAAAUAACUACCCAUUUGGACAUGUAUAUUUUAAAUACUAGCAAAUGUAUAUACAGCUAAGACAAAGCAAAAUAUAGUGAAAAAGAACAAAAGAUUAUAAGUAGAAGAACAUGUCUGAAUCCUGAUAUUUUGUGUUGUUGUCUACUUGAUUAAAAUUGGAGUGUGUUGUUGCUUUUUAUAAUUAGGGUUUACACUAAGUCUUUUUUUUUUUUUGUGGUUAAAAAAGUUGAAUUUGGACAUGGACCAAGUUAUUUAUAUUUGAUAAAUUUUGUAAUUAAUUAUAUAUAAAAAAGAAGGUGGACCACAGGCUAACCCGCUGAUUUGACCCGCAUAACCCGCGGUUUUAACGGUCCAAUCCACACGGGCAAAAAUGUAAAUGAGCAAAAAAAAUUGGUCUUAAGUUCGUGCGAGCUGCGGGUUAAACGGGUCAGCCCGCGGACCUUGGUCCAUAUAGCCGGCUCUACUUAUUAUAACUGUAGUUUCUAAUUUUUAGGUGAACAAAAUGGCGACCUAAGGUAGCUCACAAGGACCUAAGGUAGUAGCUCAUAAGUUUCUCUUAGCAUCUCACCAACAAACUAGUAGAAUUCACGGGAGCUAAGUUUAGGUGAUACUAGGAUCCUAUAGUAAAAACCUAAAAAGCAGAGAUCAUAAAAAACUUUACAACUACCAAAAAGAGAUAAUCAAAACUUAGCUAAAUAAUCCGAUUCUUGAUUAGAUCUUAAAGCCUCUUAUUAGGGCCAAGUAUGGUGAAACAAUUGGUCAAGUGGUGCCCGCUGUAUAAGUCGUAAAUAACACUAUAAUAAUGAAUACGAAUUUUACAAAAUACAUCGUUAGAUUGAAAAUUUAUAUCAUAUAAAUUAUCCAUGUCAAAUAUUACAUAAAUUUAAAAUUAUUUCAUAUGUUAUUAAGACUCAUCAAGAUUAGAGUUUUAUUGUACACUGUUAAUUCUGAUGGGUCUCAAUUACAUACAAUUAUUUUCAACCCACUUGGGUUGAUGUAUUGGUAUCGGCUUGAGACUUGGGAGUUUGCUCCUCUUGAGGUCUGAGAUUCGAUUCUCUUUGAUGUCAAUUUGGAUGGACUAAUUUAGUUUCUUCAAAACAAAACAAAAAUACAAUUAUUUUCAAUUUUUUAAAAUUUGACGGAGAUGAUCUAUGUAAUAUAAACUUUAAAUUUAACGAUGAAUUUUAUAAAAUUCGUAUUUUUAUAGUGUUAUUUACCACUUAACUAACUAUUUCAUACUAGACAAAGUCCUUAAUUAGAGAAGAACAAACACAUGGGAGGAGACACACCCAUUCUUAAAGCAUUUUGGGUAGCUAUUGUUGAAUCAGAUUCCACUUCAAGGGUUUUCAAAAUCUUCUCAUCCAAGUAAUAUUGAUGCCCAUAAAAAUAGCUUAUAGCUCAGCUUCGGCAAUAUUGCAUUAACCCAACUCAUAAGCAAAAUCAUAAAUUAUAUUAUAUAUGAGAGUCAUCUUAAACGAUGCCCUUGUGACAAUGCUCAAUCAUACCAAAAAAAAGAAAUAAAAGUUAAAAUAAAUGUUAAAAAUAUAACUUUUUACACUUUAAAUAUUGCUGCACAAAUUCUAGUGUUCGGGAUACUAUUUAACAUUUUUCUCAAUAUUAUCAUCUCUUAACUCCUUCACAAAAAUUCUUUUACGAGUGAGAUAAUUAACUCUAUCAGAAUCAAUUCUAAUUGAUCUAGUAUUAUAAAUGAAAACAUCCAAAAUGUCUACUCCCUCCGAUCACAUUUAUAACUAAAAAAACACAUCAAAUUUUGAUCACCAUUAUAAGCAAAACUUAAUUAGUUUUAACUAAUUAAUACUGUUAUUCAUAAUAUAUCCUUAUUUAAUUAUACUACUUUUUUUAAGCUUUUUACCUUCCAAAAGGUGUGUGUGAUUCAAGGAUAAAAAGUUUAUUUAUAAAAGGCAAUAUAGUAAAUUUAUUCAUAUUUUAGUAUUAAAUUAAGAAAAUUAAUUACACUUAACUAAAUUCCUUAAACACUGUGUAAGUAGUUUUUUUUGCUUAUAAAUGUGACUGGAGGGAGUAUAAAAUAAUAUAAAGUUGCAUAGCACUAAAACAAAAAUAAAGAAUAAUCAAAUAUUGAGAUUCGGUUAAUGACUCUCCCUAUGACAAAUUGUUUUGAAGAAUUCGAGUUCGAUUUUUUGUGGGAAUAAUUUUUUACCAUAUUUUACUUUUGCGGUCGAACUCUAAAUUGGUUAAUUAAAUGCACCUUAAAAUGUGCCCUUAGGGCACAUGUUAGCAGAACCCUUUAGAAAAUUAACUGUAUUUUUGUAUUCUUUAUUUAUUUUUAUUUUUUUUAUCAACCGUCUGGUUCACAAGGAAAGGGAUAAUUUAGAGUUCGACCGCAAAAGUAAAAUAUGGUAAAAAAUUAUUCCCACAAAAAAUCGAACUCGAAUUCUUCAAAACAAUUUGUCAUACGGAGAGUCAUUAACCGAAUCUCAAUAUUUGAUUAUUCUUUAUUUUUGUUUUAGUGCUAUGCAACUUUAUAUUAUUUUAUACUCCCUCCAGUCACAUGGGUUCUGCUAACAUGUGCCCUAAGGACACAUUUUAAGGUGCAUUUAAUUAACCAAUAUCUCAUUUAAUAUACUUCAAAAAUAGCAAUAAUCAACUUUAUUAAUUAAAAGAUAUAGUUCACUAUAUUUAUUACCUAUUUAAAAAAAUUGCAUAGACAAAAUAUGAUACUUGCCAAAUACUUGAUGUAUGAUCACGCGUUUGGUCAAAAAAAAAUUUGCUACAAAGCUUUUUUUUUGUCAAACCUUUUUUUAAGUUGAAAAAAUAAAUAAAUUAUAAGUAAGUAUUAUAAAAUUCUAAAACAUAUUAGCAAUUCAAAAGCUAAAAUAGUACUAGCAAUCGUUACCAUUACAACAUAAUACUAUAAUAUUCGGUCUUGUUCACCGAGAAAAAGCAAAAANNNNNNNNNNNNNNNNNNNNNNNNNNNNNNNNNNNNNNNNNNNNNNNNNNNNNNNNNNAUAAAUAUAGUGGACCAUAUCUUUUAAUUAAUAGAGUUGAUUAUUACUAUUUUUAAAGUAAAUUAAAUGAAAUAUUAGUUAAUUAAAUGCACCUUAAAAUGUGCCCUUGGGGCACAUGUUAGCAUUUGCCUUUUCUAAAAAUAAAAUAAAAUUUGUGAGUGGAAAAUAUAUUUGUGAUUGUAAUAAAUCUAUCAUAGAUUUCUGACAGAAGUUUUGAAUCCUUAAACAACAUCCACUCGUUAGUACUCUUCUCAUAUCUAUACACCACUCAAUGGAUGUACCCUCCAUUUCACCAACCCAAAAAAGUCUCCAUCUUCUGUUCCAAAAUGGCAAAAUGUCAUGUCUUUAAUUUUGCACCAUCAGUUUCCUUAUUAUCAGUACGACCAUUUUAUUGAGUUCAACGCAAUAAAUAUCAUGCAGAAAUUUUAAAAAUACACCAGACAUUGUCGAGAAGAUAUUAGGUUGAAAUUUGUGAAUCUACACAUCUAAGAGAUUUGUGGUUGUUUCCUCUAAAAAAAAGUUACUGUACUGCGGAAUUUUUAUGAGAAUAACUAGUAGGUUAUUAUAUAUAGGGUGUUGUUAAGUUGUGCCCUAAGGGCACAUGUUAAACUACCUAAAAAUAGAAAUAUAGCAUUUAAUAAUACAAAGAAUUUAAUGUUUAGAGAAUUAAAUAUACCAGAAGUUUAAUAAAAUUUUCCUAUAUUUAUCUUCUUAACAUGUGCCCUAACAUUAUCCAAUUUCUUAAUGAGAUACUUCGAACUCACAAAUGAUGUAUUUUUUUUUCUUCACUUGAAUUUUCUCCAUGGAUUUUUUACUAAAUAAGGUUUUAACAAUAUAUUUGUAGCUGACAUCUAAGAGUAAGUGUUAUGUGGUGAAUGUCAAUUACCUCAAAUUAGUGGUCUUAAUGUUAGUGCUCUUAAUGCUUAAGUUGGUCAUACAUUAUGUUAGACACUUGGGAAGUUUGUAACUUAAUCACAAGUGUCCUAUAUAAAUAGCUAGGAUCCAUGUAUUAUUGUAAGGAUGAUCUUGUGAAGAGGAUAUAUAUAAUACAAAAUUCUAUUAAUUAUUUCUCCUUUUCUCUUUUAUUUUUAUUCUUCUGUAUCUUAUUCUUAUUUUGGUUAAUUUUAUAACGAUAUAUAUUUUUUUGCAAAUAAUGUUUUAACACGUGACAAUAUCAAUCCAUGGUUUUCUAUUGUUAGGUUUUGUCAUGGUCAUGGGCACUCCAUGGCUGUUCGGUGGGGUAUAUAUUGACAUGAGUGGGGCUUGAUCAUUAUAAGACCACUCCAUGAAUGAUGAAACAAUAAUUGGAGAACCAAUGUUUAUUCUGGAGCAUGGUAAAAAGAAAAAACGUUUAUUAUUGAGCAUGCACCACAUUAUCACUCACACACAAAUACUCUUAUUUUUUUUGUCAAGAAGUUAGUGGCCAGAAAUUCCAUCCACCUUUAAAAGGUGAAUAGUGGAGUGUCUGAGAUUCAAACUCUAAUAUAAAAUGCGAUGUCUCUGCCAACUGAACUAAUAAGCUAAAAAAUAACAUGUAUAAAAGAACAAAGUCUCAAGAAUAAUGUUGUGACAUCUGUUUCAAUAGCCACAAGACCUCAUAGACUAAGACAAACUAUAACAUGACAAACUUGUAAAAGAGAGUGAUACCUAUGAUAUGACACAAAAUGAAGUUUACUAAUUUCAAUAUGGAGCGAAAUUAGAUACAAUUAUAUGUAUUGUUCAUUUCACAAAGAUUUCAAUAUGGAGUGAAAUUAGAUAUUAUUUUGAAUGUUCAUUUCACAAAGAUUUCAAUAUGGAGUGAAAUUAGAUACAAAUUAUUUUGAAUGUUCAUCUACACUUUUUUCACACAAUUUCAAAAUUGAUGGUGAUAGUCAUGCCAAAGUUACAUUAACACCUCCUAAGCUUUCCCUAAAUGUCACUUAUACCUGCUCUAGCUUGAAAAAAACUCUAAUCACAAUUUACUUUCACCCACCCAGUGUUCAGAGGGGACCAGAUUGAAGUCAACCGCGGCGGCAUGUAAGCUACCUUAGGUCCUUUAUUUCUUAUUAAUUCAACAUUCUCUUUUUCCACAAAUAUAUAAACUUCUUUCACAUUGUUCUUUUUCAAAUAACUUGCUUUAUAUGCCACAUCAAGUAGUGUACUUAAUUACAACAUAUAAAGGAUAAGCUAUCGAUUUUGCCUGAAAUUUUCAGUUAAAUGCCGCAUCAUGAUCAGUUAAUAUUCUUUUCCAGAACCAAUGUUUCCUCAACAAAAUUGACAUCUCUUCAAUGGGAAUUCCUUUGGUUUCAGGUAGGAAAAAAACAACAAAUAGGGUCAUUAGGGUUGUCCAACCAGCAAAAAACAGGAAUAUCCCAAACUUGAAUAAACACAGAAGGGAAAGAAAUGCCUGCGCGAUUAUGAAAGUGAAGAGAAGGUUUACAGCAACUGUUAUACUUUGUCCUGCUGAUCGGAUUUCUAAUGGAAAUAUCUCGCUUGGGACUGUCCAUCCUAAUGGCCCCCAUGACCAUCCAAAAGCUAGAACAAAUAGAGAAAGUGCAACUACAACUGAUAUCGAAUAGCUUUUUGAUAAUUCUUGGUUUUCUCCAUACUUCACACCCAAAAUUAUGGCAGCUAUAACCUGUUUUUGUGAAAAAAUGUGUUAGAUUAAAUCAUGGUUCUUGUAAGCACAAUUGGAAUUUGCAUUAAACCAAGAGUUUUCCAUACCUGGCAUAUAAUCAUUUGUAUUCCACCACUGAUGAGUAAGGGUCGCCUCCCCAAUCUAUCCACCGUUGCAAUGGAAAUGAAUGUUGAUGCGGCAAGAACUACUCCAGUCAAGGCUGAGGAGUAGAGAGAUGCCUGUCUGCCAAAUCCCAUGCUUUGAAACAGCAUUGGAGCAUAAAAGAGAAUUGAAUUUAUGCCGGUCAGAAUCUGGAAUGCAGGCAUGCAGAUAGCCAUGACCAACUCCGGUCUAUAUCUUCUUUUAAUGAUGUUCCAAUAAGGGUGCUUUAUUGAGUUUGCCAAUUCACCUGCAUCAAGCAUAUCCUGGAACUCUGCGUCGACCUCAUUCGUUCCUCUGAUUUUUUCGAGGAGCUUCCUCCCUUGUUCCUUUGAUCCUCUUUCCACUAAGCUAUUUGGAGUCUCUGGAAUAAAUAUUCCUCCGACAGUCAUCAAAAGAGUUGGUAUUGCAGCAAGGCCAAGGGCCAACCUCCACCCCCAUGGUUGAAUCUGUUGUGUUCCAUAAUUGAUCAUAUUUGCUGUAAAAAUCCCAAAAGUGGUUGCGACUUGAAACAUCAUGUUCAGGGCUCCACGAAAAUGAGUUGGUGCCAUCUCUGACAAAUACAGCGGAAUAGCCUUCAAAAAGGUAUAGUAUAACUAGAUUAUCUUCUAACUUAAAAACAUACUUUAUUGGACCCUUGAUUGUUUCCAUCCCAUUACUUCCUUUUUUUUUUGGUGUAAAAUUUGAUGACCCUACAUUAUCAUUAAAGUUGGUAGUCACUUUACAAAGCUACAUUUGAUACUUUAGUUAUCUAGACUUUUAGACUUUGGUUUUAAACACGAUAAGCGGUUGCUCGGUUGUUCUUCUAAUAAAUAAACCAAUGUUUUACAUAAAAAAUAGUUUGUAUUUGCUUAAGAAUGGAUUAUAGGGAAAAAGGUGCUGCUACCUGGUUUCCAAAUCCAAUGCCAACACCUUGAAGAACCCUUCCUAUGAUGAGCAUUUCCAGAUCAACAGCUGCAGCAUUCAGAGCUGAGCCAAUGAGAAAGUUGAUACCANNNNNNNNNNNNNNNNNNNNNNNNNNNNNNNNNNCCUCCGUCCGUACUUCCUUGUAACUGGAGCUGCGACUAUAGAUGCAACAAAACCAGAAAUGUAUAAAGUAGAGGUAAAUGCAGAAAUGCCCUGAUUGUUAUACUUGCAAUAGUUAUUUUCAUGUGCUUCCAGUUUAUGUUUGUACACUGCAGGGAAGAAAAUCUGAAGAAAGUCAUCCAUGGAAGCAACUCCUCCUGUUAACAAUGUCACAUGUGUAAAUUUUCUGAUAAUAAAUAAAUGACUAUAAAGAUUCUGAUAAAAGGAGAGAUCAAAUGUGUAUGUAAAUUUGUGGACUGUAGGGAACUGUAGGAGAUUCGGCUGCAAUGAAUCUAAAUCCGAUAAAGUCCCGGUUUGAUUAAUAGGGAGGGGAGAUUUCUAUGAAUUUCGUUAGGUGUCAGAUCAUCAUAAUAGAUUAUACCAAUGUCUUUGUCCCAAAGGCAAGAGUUGUGUCAAAGUCAAAAUAGUAGAUAUCAUGGAAUUUAUGAGAUUCAUUUUUCUUUCCUUAUUCUCUCAUCAAAUCAAGUCUUAUAUAUCAGUGAAAUUCAAUCCAUCCGUCCCCUUUCAGCUUACAAAUACGGCUUUGUCUAAUGUGCACAAGUAAAUAAGUAUUGCACCACUUGCUUGAGGUUUUGCUGCGGUGCCGACUUGCUUGGUUUCGGCCUGAUUUUUGUGGUGGCAGAUUCCGGCUUCUUAGGGGUUUGGUUUAUUUUCACUGAUUUCCUUUUGUUUGUGUUGGAGCGUAUUUUUUUUGUUUUGCUCAGUUUGUAGGGGCCUUGGUUUUGGUUGUAUAGGUGGAUCCUUGCCCUUUGUUUUUGAGGGGCUUUAUGCUCUGUGCUGUAAGGUGUUUUCUCUCCUUUUUCUUGCUCCUUCAAAUACUUCUUGUAUUGAAGGAAGCUUAAUAAAUUUGCUGAUUCAAAAAAAAAAAAAAAGUAUUGCACCAUCUACAAGUUUGUUUUUCACCGUUAAAUCAAUAUGUCUCAUCGUAUCUCGUUUGAACUUAUUGUGAGA
rnacentral:lncRNA from 1 species